rnacentral:piRNA from 1 species
UCCAGUUGCACAAUUGUUUAG